CAGGGGCGGCAGCCAGGCAGGUCAGGAACUUCGGCUGCUCCGAUUUGUCGAAUCAACAGAGUGGAAGGUGUUGCAUAAAUGAAUCAACAUCCACGUCUGAAGCCGCCCCGCUGGCGUCGAUUUGCAUAAGCGGAUUAAGCCACCUACACGGUACCUCCCCUGCAUGUACAAUCGCCCGGCGCAUCGGAGCGGCACUCUGCACAUAUUGAAACCCGGCCGGAGAAGCCCUCAUUAUCUGUAGCGGCAUCGCUAACCGAGCGCAGCAUAAUCAAAGCCUCGGGGUUUCUCAGGAAGCAACUCUGGAAGCCCGGGAAAAGAACAGUCCCUGCUGUGAGAUGGUUAGCAUGAUGAGAGCGGGGGUCUUUGGAAGUUGCAGGGGAUAUUUCGAUGGACUUUUCUGCGCUGGAGUGAAGGUUGGCAGACAUGCCCCACAGCCUCUCUGCAGACUGAAGUUGUCAGCAUGGGAUUGAAACGUAGGGUCUCUCAUUAAACCCAUGCUGAUUUGGUUA
ensembl:lncRNA